rnacentral:rRNA from 1 species
AGUGAACGCUGGCGGUAUGCCUAACACAUGCAAGUCGAACGGCAGCACAGUAAGAGCUUGCUCUUACGGGUGGCGAGUGGCGGACGGGUGAGGAAUACAUCGGAAUCUACUUUUUCGUGGGGGAUAACGUAGGGAAACUUACGCUAAUACCGCAUACGACCUACGGGUGAAAGCAGGGGAGCUUCGGACCUUGCGCGAUUGAAUGAGCCGAUGUCGGAUUAGCUAGUUGGCGGGGUAAAGGCCCACCAAGGCGACGACCCGUAGCUGGUCUGAGAGGAUGAUCGGCGACACUGGAAGGGGGACACGGACCAGAGUCCUGAGGGAGGGAGCAGUGUGGAACAUUGGACAGUGGGCGCAAGCCUGGUCCAGCCAUACCGAGCGGGUGGCGGAGGCCUUCGGGUUGUGAAGCCGGUUUGUUGGGAAAGAACAGCAGCAGGUUAAUACCCCGCUGUUCUGACGGUACCCAAAGAAUAAGCACCGGCUAACUUCGUG